rnacentral:ncRNA from 2 species
CUUUUAAAUAAAGCGCCAGACCUUACUUAAGGUGACGAGGAAAGAAUUUAUCGAAGAUUUUCGGCGGAUAAUUCUAGGAUCUGCAUUCUAUAGAGUUCUGACAAAAUUAAGUAGCAAUACUUUUGCCAAAACAGAAUUCAGGCAGAACA